rnacentral:tRNA from 1 species
GCGCGGGUGCAGAAAUUGGUAGACUGGCAUCCUUGAGGUGGAUGUGCCCGCAAGGGCGUGGAGGUUCAAGUCCUCUCCCGCGCACAA